CAUUGACACGUGUAUAGCAGUUCUGCCAACUUUUCAUUAAGCAAAUGCGUGAGAUUUGGCCAAAAUUUAAAAGAUCAAAGAGGAAAAAAAUAGAUCCAAGGAUACUGCCGCAAAAAUGCAUGAACAUGCGUGAGUCUCACGCAUUUUUGGCAGCCCUGGUACAGCUGGAUAGUAUUAUUUAUUUUCAAAACUAAUUCAACUGCACAUGCAAAAUGUAAUAAUCAGAAUAGUCACUCAACUUUAAAAAUGGCCAAUCCCGGAUACAAUACCAUACAAGUGUAUGAG
rnacentral:lncRNA from 1 species